rnacentral:rRNA from 1 species
UACGUAGGGUGCGAGCGUUAAUCGGAAUUACUGGGCGUAAAGCGUGCGCAGGCGGUUUUGUAAGCCAGAUGUGAAAUCCCCGGGCUUAACCUGGGAAUGGCAUUUGGGACUGCAAGGCUUGAGUGUGGCAGAGGAGACUGGAAUUCCAGGUGUAGCGGUGAAAUGCGUAGAUAUCUGGAGGAACACCGGUGGCGAAGGCGACAUCCUGGACCGGUAUUGACGCUGAGGCGCGAAAGCCAGGGGAGCAAACGGG